rnacentral:rRNA from 1 species
AACGAACGCUGGCGGCAGGCCUAACACAUGCAAGUCGAACGCCCUAGCAAUAGGGAGUGGCAGACGGGUGAGUAACACGUGGGAACCUUCCCUAUAGUACGGAAUAGCCCAGGGAAACUUGGAGUAGUACCGUAUACGCCCGAAAGGGGAAAGAUUUAUCGCUAUAGGAUGGGCCCGCGUAGGAUUAGCUAGUUGGUGAGGUAAUGGCUCACCAAGGCGACGAUCCUUAGCUGGUCUGAGAGGACGACCAGCCACACUGGGACUGAGACACGGCCCAGACUCCUACGGGAGGCAGCUGUGGGGAAUAUUGGACAAUGGGCGCAAGCCUGAUCCAGCCAUGCCGCGUGAGUGAUGAAGGCCUUAGGGUUGUAAAGCUCUUUUGGCGGGGACGAUAAUGACGGUACCCGCAGAAUAAGUCCCGGCUAACUUCGUGCCAGCCGCCGCGGUAAUAC